rnacentral:rRNA from 1 species
CUGGCUCAGGACGAACGCUGGCGGCGUGCCUAAUACAUGCAAGUCGAGCGAACCACUUCGGUGGUUAGCGGCGGACGGGUGAGUAACACGUGGGCAACCUGCCUGUAAGACUGGGAUAACUUCGGGAAACCGGAGCUAAUACCGGAUAAUCCUUUUCCUCUCAUGAGGAAAAGCUGAAAGWCGGUUUCGGCUGWCACUUACAGAUGGGCCCGCGGCGCAUUAGCUAGUUGGUGAGGUAACGGCUCACCAAGGCGACGAUGCGUAGCCGACCUGAGAGGGUGAUCGGCCACACUGGGACUGAGACACGGCCCAGACUCCUACGGGAGGCAGCAGUAGGGAAUCUUCCACAAUGGACGAAAGUCUGAUGGAGCAACGCCGCGUGAGCGAUGAAGGCCUUCGGGUCGUAAAGCUCUGUUGUUAGGGAAGAACAAGUACCGGAGUAACUGCC